rnacentral:rRNA from 1 species
GACGAACGCUGGCGGCGUGCUUAACACAUGCAAGUCGAACGGAAAGGCCCUGCUUGCCGGGUCCUCGAGUGGCGAACGGGUGAGUAACACGUGGGUGCUCUGCCCUGCACUUCGGGAUAAGCCUGGGAAACUGGGUCUAAUACCGGAUAGGAGCCAUUUUUAGUGUGAUGGUUGGAAAGUUUUUUCGGUGUAGGAUGAGCUCGCGGCCUAACGGCUUGUUGGUGGGGUAAUGGCCUACCAAGGCGGCGACGGGUAGCCGGCCUGAGAGGGUGGACGGCCACAUUGGGACUUAGGGGAGGCCCAGACGCCGACGGGAGGAAGAAGGGGGGAAGAUUGAACAAGGGGUGCCAGCCGGAUGCAGCGACGCCGCGGGGGGGAGGACGGCCUUGGGGUUGGAAACGCGUUUCGCUAGGGACGAAGCUUUUUGUGACGGUACCUAGAGAAGAAGCACCGGCUAACUACGUG